rnacentral:rRNA from 1 species
GUAUGGAGCAAGCGUUAUCCGGAUUUACUGGGUGUAAAGGGAGCGUAGACGGUGAGGCAAGUCUGAUGUGAAAGCCCGGGGCUCAACCCCGGAACUGCAUUGGAAACUGUCUUACUAGAGUGCAGGAGAGGUAAGCGGAAUUCCUAGUGUAGCGGUGAAAUGCGUAGAUAUUAGGAGGAACACCAGUGGCGAAGGCGGCUUACUGGACUGUAACUGACGUUGAGGCUCGAAAGCGUGGGGAGCAA